AUUGAACGCUGGCGGCAGGCCUAACACAUGCAAGUCGAACGAGUGGCGGACGGGUGAGUAAUGUCUGGGAAACUGCCUGAUGGAGGGGGAUACCUCCUGGAAACGGUCGCUAAUACCGCCUACCAUCGGAUGUGCCCAGAUGGGAUUAGCUAGUAGGUGGGGUAAAGGCUCCCCUAGUCGACGCUCCCUAGCUGGUCUGAUAGGAUGACCAGCCACACGGGAACUGAGACACGGUCCAGAGUCCUACGGUAGGCAGCAGUGGGGAAUAGUGCACAAUGGGCGCAAGCCUGAUGCAGCCAUGCCGCGUGUAUGAAGAAGGCCUUCGGGGUGUAAAGUACUUUCAGCGGGGAGGCGUUACCCGCAGAAGAAGCACCGGCGAACUCCGUGCCAGCCGCCGCGGUAAUAC
rnacentral:rRNA from 1 species